rnacentral:rRNA from 1 species
AACGAACGCUGGCGGCAGGCCUAACACAUGCAAGUCGAGCGAAGCCUUCGGGCUUAGCGGCGGACGGGUGAGUAACGCGUGGGAACGUGCCCUUUGGUACGGAAUAGCCCCGGGAAACUGGGAGUAAUACCGUAUGUGGUCGAGAGACGAAAGAUUUAUCGCCAAAGGAUCGGCCCGCGUUGGAUUAGGUAGUUGGUGGGGUAAUGGCCUACCAAGCCGACGAUCCAUAGCUGGUUUGAGAGGAUGAUCAGCCAAACUGGGACUGAGACACGGCACAGACGCCUACGGGAGGCAGCAGUGGGGAAUCUUAGACAAUGGGGGGAGCCCUGAACUAGCCAUGACGCAUGAUCGAUGAAGGCCUUAGGGUUGUAAAGAUCUUUCAGUGGGGAAGAUAAUGACUGUACCCACAGAAGAAGCCCCGGCUAACUCCGUGCCAGCCGCCGCGGUAACAC